UACGGAGGGUGCAAGCGUUAAUCGGAAUUACUGGGCGUAAAGCGCACGUAGGUGGCGACGUAAGUCGGGUGUGAAAGCCCCGGGCUCAACCUGGGAAUUGCAUUCGAGACUGUGUCGCUGGAGUACGGAAGAGGAAGGCGGAAUUCCCGGUGUAGCGGUGAAAUGCGUAGAUAUCGGGAGGAACAUCAGUGGCGAAGGCGGCCUUCUGGUCCAGUACUGACACUCAAGUGCGAAAGCGUGGGGAGCAAACAGG
rnacentral:rRNA from 1 species